CCAUGAUGGAUAAGUGUCUGACCCAGCGCAGCUGUUAAAUGAUUAUCAUUUAACAGCUGCGCUGGGUCAGACACUUAUCCAUCAUGGA
rnacentral:pre_miRNA from 1 species